AUGAGCGACGGUGGCGACUCCGUCUCCAGCGAUGACUGCAUCGACGACUGCCUUGAGGCCUGCUGCUGCGACUGCUUCUGGGAUCCCAUCUGCUUCCGCAUCCUCUGCGCUCUCGUGAUCCUAGCCGUCCUCGCCACCGUGGUCACCCUGCUCGUCAUCGCCUUCGUCCCCCGCCCCGUCGGAGUCAGCGUCGAGGACGCGGCCCUCACCCGCCUCGACCUCGCCGUCAAGAACGCCACGUCCACCGCGCUCUCCUACGACGUCUCCAUCGCCGUCGCCGUCCACAACGGAAACUUGUUCAUGCCCGCCGAACACACCGCUGGCGACCGCAGGGGCCGUGGUCCGACCGCGGCGCAGGAAAGUGUACCACGCCACGGCGGCGGCCGACAGCGUGAGCGUCGCGCUGGGGAGCGCAGACGUGGCCGACUUCCACAGGGAGAGCGCUGCCGGGCUGUUCCAGCUCGAGGUGAAGAUUGUCGGCGAGGUCAUGUACCGGCCACACCACAAGAAGCACAGGCUGGACGCGAUCUGCCGGCUAGAGUUGGCUCUGUCAACGGCAACCUCGCCGGCGAUGUUCAAGAAGGUCAAGUGCGAUGUUCAGAAAGAGCAUUGAUGCUCAGGAUCGAAGCUACGCACGGUGGUUCAAGUUCUCUGUUGCACGGCUGA
rnacentral:rRNA from 1 species